UGUGUUUGACGUUUUUAUUAGCUUAUGAUAGAUACCCAGUAAAGACAUUUAAAUAUGCUUGAUUGAAAAUUAAAAUAUAAUAAUCAGAUAUUACCUUAUCUGAAAGGUAAUAGUUGGUUGUGAGUAAUACGUAGGCUAUUUAACAAAAGUGUGUUGAGUAGAAAAGUGCUACAUAGUUCCCGUACGACCCUGGUGCUACACAAAGUGCUAAAAAGUAGCGCUUUAGCUGCUAGUUUGUAGAACAAUGUUACGCCCACAGUUGUAAGAUGUGUCUGCAUUUGCUGCUGUAGGGUGCGUAGAAAGUUGAGGUUUGUUACAAUGUAAUAUACAUAUUCACGGUACCGAUUUCCUCUCCGAUCCGCAGACGCACUUGACCAGCCACCAGCGGACGAGGUGGUAAUCAUUGGCAAUAACUGGCCCCACACCGCUGUUUUGCUCCUCAUAGAGACCUGGAGGUCUCUUAAGGAGAAGUUUGAGUGUCCCACCAUAAAAAAAAAACAAGCUUGGGAGAUGGUUGCGGAGUGCCUCAGAAAGGAAGCAGUUAAUGUGAAAUGGCAGAUGUGUGACAACAAGUGGAGGAACCUUAGGCACAGAUACAAAAUCAUCCGUGAUGGGCAUGGGAAGACAGGACAGGGCCGGCGAAAGUGGGAGUAUUUCGCCGUGCUGGAAGAACUUUUUGCUGGCGACCCAGCUGUGCAGCCCACAGUAGUCAUCUCCUCAACCCCAACAU